rnacentral:rRNA from 1 species
UUUUUGACAAUGGGCGAAAGCCUGAUCCAGCAAUGCCGCGUGUGGGAAGAAGGCCUUCGGGUUGUAAACCACUUUUGUACGGAACGAAAAGGUCUGCCCUAAUACGGUGGGCCCAUGACGGUACCGUAAGAAUAAGCACCGGCUAACUACGUGCCAGCAGCCGCUGUAAUACGUAGGGUGCGAGCGUUAAUCGGAAUUACUGGGCGUAAAGCGUGCGCAGGCGGUUAUAUAAGACAGUUGUGAAAUCCCCGGGCUCAACCUGGGAAUUGCAUCUGUGACUGUAUAGCUAGAGUACGGUAGAGGGGGAUGGAAUUCCGCGUGUAGCAGUGAAAUGCGUAGAUAUGCGGAGGAACACCGAUGGCGAAGGCAAUCCCCUGGACCUGUACUGACGCUCAUGCACGAAA